rnacentral:rRNA from 1 species
ACCCGUUGAUCCUGCGGGAGAUUGCUGCUAUUUGGGUUCGACUUAGCCAUGCAAGUCAAGGGAGUUCUUCGGGACUACCGGCAAAAUGCUGAGUAACACGUCGAUAAUCUGCCCUUAGGUAGAGGAUAACCUCGGGAAACUGAGGCUAACACUCUAUAGGAAAAUAUGACUGGAAUUGUCUUUUUUCCUAAAGGUCACGCCUAAGGAUGAGUCGGCGGCUGAUUAGGUAGUUGGUGGGGUAAUGGCCCACCAAGCCUCAGAUCAGUAGGGCCUUGAGAGAGGGAGCCCCCAGAAGGACACUUAGACACUGGUCCUAGCCCUAUGGGGUGCAGCAGGCGCGAAACCUUUACAAUGCACGAAAGUGUGAUAAGGGAACCCAAAGUGCUCAUGUUUUCAUGGGCUUUUGCCAAGAGUAAAUAUCUUGGAGAAUAAGUAGUGGGUAAGACUGGUGCCAGCAGCCGCGGUAACACCAGCGCUACGAGUGGUGAUCACAUUUAUUGGGCUUAAAGCGUCCGUAGCCGGACAAGUAAAUUCUUUGUGAAAUCGGAUAGCUCAACUAUUCGACGUGCAAGGAACACUGCUAGUCUUGGAACCGGGAGAAGUAGGGAGUAUUCCUAGGGGAGCGGUAAAAUGUUAUAAUCCUAGGAGGACUACCGGUGGCGAAGGCGCCCUACUAGAACGGAUUCGACGGUGAGGGACGAAAGCCAGGGGAGCAAAACGGAUUAGAUACCCGAGUAGUCCUGGCAGUAAACGCUGCGAACUAGGUGUUGUAUUUUCUUCGUGGAAAUGCAGUGUCGGAGCGAAAGUGUUAAGUUCGCCGCCUGGGAAGUACGGUCGCAAGGCUGAAACUUAAAGGAAUUGGCGGGGGAGCACCACAAGGGGUGCGGCGUGCGGUUUAAUCUAACUCAACGCAGAAAAUCUCACCAUAAGCGACGGCAAGAUGAAAGUCAGAUUAAAGGUUUUACUUGAUGAGCCGAGAGGUGGUGCAUGGCCGCCGUCAGCUCGUGCCGUAAGGUGUCCAGCUAAGCCUGGUAACGAGCGAGAUCUGUAUCCACUAUUACUAACAGGCCCUUUAGGGUGACUGAGUACUUUGUGGAGACUGCCCGGGAAACUGGGAGGAAGGUGCAGGCAACGGUUGGUCUGUAUGCCCCGAAUCUUAUGGGCUACACGCGCGCAACAAUGGUCGGGACAAUGGGAUACGACUCCGAAAGGAGAAGUUAAUCCUCAAAACCCGAUCUUAGUUCAGAUCGAGGGCUGUAACUCGCCCUCGUGACGACGGAAUCCCUAGUAAUCGAAAGUCAUUAUCUUUCGGUGAAUAUGUCCCUGCUCCUUGCACACACCGCCCGUCAAACCACCCGAGCCGGGUUUGGAUGAGUGCCAUUCAUUUGGGUAGUACGAAUCUAAGCUCAGUAAGGAGGGUUAAGUCGUCACAAGGUA